UGAACGCUGGCGGCGUGCCUAAUACAUGCACGUCGAGCGAACAGACGCGGAGCUUGCUCCUCUGACGUUAGCGGCGGACGGGUGAGUAACACGUGGAUAACCUACCUAUAAGACUGGGAUAACUUCGGGAAACCGGAGCUAAUACCGGAUAAUAUAUUGAACCGCAUGGUUCAAUAGUGAAAGACGGUUUUGCUGUCACUUAUAGAUGGAUCCGCGCCGCAUUAGCUAGUUGGUAAGGUAACGGCUUACCAAGGCGACGAUGCGUAGCCGACCUGAGAGGGUGAUCGGCCACACUGGAACUGAGACACGGUCCAGACUCCUACGGGAGGCAGCAGUAGGGAAUCUUCCGCAAUGGGCGAAAGCCUGACGGAGCAACGCCGCGUGAGUGAUGAAGGUCUUCGGAUCGUAAAACUCUGUUAUUAGGGAAGAACAAAUGUGUAAGUAACUAUGCACGUCUUGACGGUACCUAAUCAGAAAGCCACGGCUAACUACGUG
rnacentral:rRNA from 1 species